UGCGCAGGUGCAGCUUUAUGGGAUCCAUGAAGACAAGAUGCAGCAGUGUAGGAGGUGGAGGAGGUGGAGGAAAGACAAUGGGACUAAGAACCAGAGCAGACUUCUUCUACAUGGACAAACAUAUUGCAGGAGAAGAGGAGGAUGGGGGGAGAAUAGUGGAGGGGAGUAGAGUCCUCUACAUACACAACCCUCUACACAGCAGUCCAUGGGACUGACUACUGUAUACCUAUUUCUCUCUCUCCUUCUCUCUCUUUCUCUCUCUCUCUCUUCUCUCUUUCUCUUUUCCUCAAUUCCUAUUUUUGUCUUAUUUCCUGGAUUACUGACCCUCUGAAUGUGGCCCUGGCUCAAAUCACAAGACUUACUUCACUCCAGAGAAUGAGUUUGCUGUUUCCUGUCUCUGGAUGGACCCUCAUCUUAUUGGCUACCGAAAAGGGGUGUGGUCAUUGUGGAGCAAACUAAUGAGAGAGAACAAUGGCAUGAAGACUUCCAGUGCUGGCUCUCCUCAGGUGAGAGGGUCCCCUAGGCCAGUCUUUUCGCCCCCCAUUGCAACCUUGCCACCCCCCAGCCCUGCAUCAUCAGAAGGGGAUGAACCAGGACAUGGGAGGAAGGUGUCUUUCUUUGAUGAUGUCACUGUCAAUGUGUUGGAUCAGGAUCCGCCGCUGGGGAUAAGAAGACUAAGUGUGUUUGCUGAAGGAAGACAAACACCCAAAUAAACAGAAGAGCUCAACAGUGGGACCUUGCUGUUUCACCACUAGUGAACUACAUAUUCUCCCUUUACAAUUUAUAGACCAGUGGUCCAACUAAAGGGGUGUAAACCAUCCCUUUUCAGGUUACUGUACCACCAAGAGUGAGUUGUUGACCUUUCAGGGCUAUGUCUGCCUGUCUCCCAAUAAGGAUGAGUCUAUAACACAUUAACAGUAACAGAGGGGUCUGAUGACCACAACAUAACAACAAGGAUUAGUCUAGAACACAUUAACAGUAACAGAGGGGUCUGAUGACCACAACAUAACAACAAGGAUUAGUCUAGAACACAUUAACAGUAACAGAGGGGUCUGAUGACCACAACGUAACAACAAGGAUUAGUCUAGAACACAUUAACAGUAACAGAGGGGUCUGAUGACCACAACGUAACAACAAGGAUUAGUCUAGAACACAUUAACAGUAACAGAGGGGUCUGAUGACCACAAUGUAACAACAAGGAUUAGUCUAGAACACAUUAACAGUAACAGAGGGGUCUGAUGACCACAACGUAACAACAAGGAUUAGUCUAGAACACAUUAACAGUAACAGAGGGGUCUGAUGACCACAACGUAACAACAAGGAUUUGUCUAGAACACAUUAACAGUAACAGAGGGGUCUGAUGACCACAACGUAACAACAAGGAUUUGUCUAGAACACAUUAACAGUAACAGAGGGGUCUGAUGACCACAACAUAACAUAACUUAACGCACACACACACUGAGAUGUGAAUGCAAAUAGAAAAAUAAACAGUUAAAAUAGAUUAACCAACAUAAAAAAUCAUGUUUUAUCCCUCUGACACUGAAUGGGCAGGUGCAACAAGUGGACUGACAUGUGGAAAGCCUCUACUUGAUUUUGACAAAGUGCAGUUUUAGCCCUGUUUAUACCUGCUUCUAACAGUCUUGAGCAUGUCCACAUUCUCAUUGUGAUCUAAUUGUGAUAUUAUCUUCCUGACCACCUCCAGAGCGGUUUUUCAAAUAAUUUGCAUAAUUUGCAUACAGGGAGGGACCUGUACAUUUUUUUAAACUUUAAAGUACUACAUCAGUCGUUUUUUGGGGGUAUCUGUACUUUACUAUUUAUAUUUUUGACAGCUUUUACUUUUACUUCAUUACA